rnacentral:rRNA from 1 species
CCUACGGGGGGCAGCAGUGAGGAAUAUUGGUCAAUGAACGAGAGUCUGAACCAGCCAAGUAGCGUGAAGGAUGACUGCCCUAUGGGUUGUAAACUUCUUUUAUAUGGGAAUAAAACGUUCCACGUGUGGGAUUUUGUAUGUACCAUAUGAAUAAGGAUCGGCUAACUCCGUGCCAGCAGCCGCGGUAAUACGGAGGAUCCGAGCGUUAUCCGGAUUUAUUGGGUUUAAAGGGAGCGUAGGUGGAUUGUUAAGUCAGUUGUGAAAGUUUGCGGCUCAACCGUAAAAUUGCAGUUGAAACUGACAGUCUUGAGUACAGUAGAGGUGGGCGGAAUUCGUGGUGUAGCGGUGAAAUGCUUAGAUAUCACGAAGAACUCCGAUUGCGAAGGCAGUUCACUGGACUGCAACUGACACUGAGGCUCGAAAGUGUGGGUAUCAAACAGGAUUAGAUACCCUUGUAGUC